CGGAACACGUGUGCAACCUGCCUUUAUCUGGGGGAUAGCCUUUCGAAAGGAAGAUUAAUACCCCAUAAUAUACUGGAUGGCAUCAUUCGGUAUUGAAAACUCCGGUGGAUAGAGAUGGGCACGCGCAAGAUUAGAUAGUUGGUGAGGUAACGGCUCACCAAGUCUACGAUCUUUAGGGGGCCUGAGAGGGUGAUCCCCCACACUGGUACUGAGACACGGACCAGACUCCUACGGGAGGCAGCAGUGAGGAAUAUUGGACAAUGGGUGAGAGCCUGAUCCAGCCAUCCCGCGUGAAGGACGACGGCCCUAUGGGUUGUAAACUUCUUUUGUAUAGGGAUAAACCUACCCUCGUGAGGGUAGCUGAAGGUACUAUACGAAUAAGCACCGGCUAACUCCGUGCCAGCAGCCGCGGUAAUACGGAGGGUGCAAGCGUUAUCCGGAUUUAUUGGGUUUAAAGGGUCCGUAGGCGGAUCUGUAAGUCAGUGGUGAAAUCUCACAGCUUAACUGUGAAACUGCCAUUGAUACUGCAGGUCUUGAGUGUUGUUGAAGUAGCUGGAAUAAGUAGUGUAGCGGUGAAAUGCAUAGAUAUUACUUAGAACACCAAUUGCGAAGGCAGGUUACUAAGCAACAACUGACGCUGAUGGACGAAAGCGUGGGGAGCGAACAGGAUUAGAUACCCUGGUAGUCCACGCCGUAAACGAUGCUAACUCGUUUUUGGAAUGUAAGUUUCAGAGACUAAGCGAAAGUGAUAAGUUAGCCACCUGGGGAGUACGAACGCAAGUUUGAAACUCAAAGGAAUUGACGGGGGCCCGCACAAGCGGUGGAUUAUGUGGUUUAAUUCGAUGAUACGCGAGGAACCUUACCAAGGCUUAAAUGGGAAAUGACAGGUUUAGAAAUAGACUUUUCUUCGGACAUUUUUCAAGGUGCUGCAUGGUUGUCGUCAGCUCGUGCCGUGAGGUGUUAGGUUAAGUCCUGCAACGAGCGCAACCCCUGUCACUAGUUGCCAUCAUUAAGUUGGGGACUCUAGUGAGACGGCCUACGCAAGUAGAGAGGAAGGUGGGGAUGAUGUCAAAUCAUCACGGCCCUUACGCCUUGGGCCACACACGUAAUACAAUGGCCGGUACAGAGGGCAGCUACACUGCGAAGUGAUGCAAAUCUCGAAAGCCGGUCUCAGUUCGGAUUGGAGUCUGCAACUCGACUCUAUGAAGCUGGAAUCGCUAGUAAUCGCGCAUCAGCCAUGGCGCGGUGAAUACGUUCCCGGGCCUUGUACACACCCCCCGUCA
rnacentral:rRNA from 1 species